CGUAACAAGGUCUCCGUUGGUGAACCAGCGGAGGGAUCAUUACUGAGUUUACGCUCUACAACCCUUUGUGAACAUACCUAUAACUGUUGCUUCGGCGGGUAGGGUCUCCGCGACCCUCCCGGCCUCCCGCCUCCGGGCGGGUCGGCGCCCGCCGGAGGAUAACCAAACUCUGAUUUAACGACGUUUCUUCUGAGUGGUACAAGCAAAUAAUCAAAACUUUUAACAACGGAUCUCUUGGUUCUGGCAUCGAUGAAGAACGCAGCGAAAUGCGAUAAGUAAUGUGAAUUGCAGAAUUCAGUGAAUCAUCGAAUCUUUGAACGCACAUUGCGCCCGCCAGCAUUCUGGCGGGCAUGCCUGUUCGAGCGUCAUUUCAACCCUCAAGCUCUGCUUGGUGUUGGGGCCCUACAGCUGAUGUAGGCCCUCAAAGGUAGUGGCGGACCCUCUCGGAGCCUCCUUUGCGUAGUAACUUUACGUCUCGCACUGGGAUCCGGAGGGACUCUUGCCGUAAAACCCCCAAUUUUCCAAAGGUUGACCUCGGAUCAGGUAGGAAUACCCGCUGAACUUAAGCAUAUCA
rnacentral:rRNA from 1 species